UAGGGAAUCUUCCGCAAUGGGCGAAAGCCUGACGGAGCAACGCCGCGUGAGUGAUGAAGGUCUUCGGAUCGUAAAACUCUGUUAUUAGGGAAGAACAAAUGUGUAAGUAACUAUGCACGUCUUGACGGUACCUAAUCAGAAAGCCACGGCUAACUACGUGCCAGCAGCCGCGGUAAUACGUAGGUGGCAAGCGUUAUCCGGAAUUAUUGGGCGUAAAGCGCGCGUAGGCGGUUUUUUAAGUCUGAUGUGAAAGCCCACGGCUCAACCGUGGAGGGUCAUUGGAAACUGGAAAACUUGAGUGCAGAAGAGGAAAGUGGAAUGCCAUGUGUAGCAGUGAAAUGCGCAGAGAUAUGGAGGAACACCAGUGGCGAAGGCGACUUUCUGGUCUGUAACUGACGCUGAUGUGCGAAAGCGUGGGGAUCAAACAGG
rnacentral:rRNA from 1 species